GAUGAACGCUGGCGGCGUGCCUAAUACAUGCAAGUCGAGCGAACAGACGAGGAGCUUGCUCCUCUGACGUUAGCGGCGGACGGGUGAGUAACACGUGGAUAACCUACCUAUAAGACUGGGAUAACUUCGGGAAACCGGAGCUAAUACCGGAUAAUAUAUUGAACCGCAUGGUUCAAUAGUGAAAGACGGUUUGCUGUCACUUAUAGAUGGAUCCGCGCCGCAUUAGCUAGUUGGUAAGGUAACGGCUUACCAAGGCGACGAUGCGUAGCCGACCUGAGAGGGUGAUCGGCCACACUGGAACUGAGACACGGUCCAGACUCCUACGGGAGGCAGCAGUAGGGAAUCUUCCGCAAUGGGCGAAAGCCUGACGGAGCAACGCCGCGUGAGUGAUGAAGGUCUUCGGAUCGUAAAACUCUGUUAUUAGGGAAGAACAAAUGUGUAAGUAACUAUGCACGUCUUGACGGUACCUAAUCAGAAAGCCACGGCUAACUACGUG
rnacentral:rRNA from 1 species